GUCGAACGGAUUAUUCUUUAUAGCUUGCUAUGAGAAUAAUUAGUGGCAGACGGGUGAGUAAUGCAUAGGAAUCUACCUAGUAGUAUAGGAUAGCCACUAGAAAUGGUGGGUAAUACUGUAUAAUCCCUGCGGGGGAAAGAUUUAUCGCUACAUGAUGAGCCUAUGUUAGAUUAGCUAGUUGGUAGGGUAAAGGCCUACCAAGGCGAUGAUCUAUAGCUGGUCUGAGAGGAUGAUCAGCCACACUGGAACUGAGAUACGGUCCAGACUCCUACGGGAGGCAGCAGUGGGGAAUAUUGGACAAUGGGCGCAAGCCUGAUCCAGCUAUGCCGCGUGAGUGAGGAAGGCCUUAGGGUUGUAAAACUCUUUCAGUAGGGAAGAUAAUGACGGUACCUAUA
rnacentral:rRNA from 1 species